GACGAACGCUGGCGGCGUGCUUAACACAUGCAAGUCGAACGGAAAGGCCCUGCUUUUGUGGGGUGCUCGAGUGGCGAACGGGUGAGUAACACGUGAGUAACCUGCCCUUGACUUUGGGAUAACUUCAGGUAACUGGGGCUAAUACCGGAUAGGAGCUCCUGCUGCAUGGUGGGGGUUGGAAAGUUUCGGCGGUUGGGGAUGGACUCGCGGCUUAUCAGCUUGUUGGUGGGGUAGUGGCUUACCAAGGCUUUGACGGGUAGCCGGCCUGGGAGGGUGACCGGCCACAUUGGGACUGAGAUACGGCCCAGACUCCUACGGGAGGCAGCAGUGGGGAAUAUUGCACAAUGGGCGGAAGCCUGAUGCAGCAACGCCGCGUGCGGGAUGACGGCCUUCGGGUUGUAAACCGCUUUCGCCUGUGACGAAGCGUGAGUGACGGUAAUGGGUAAAGAAGCACCGGCUAACUACGUG
rnacentral:rRNA from 1 species